rnacentral:rRNA from 1 species
AACGAACGCUGGCGGCAUGCCUAACACAUGCAAGUCGAACGAUCCCUUCGGGGGUAGUGGCGCAUGGGUGCGUAAGGCGUGGGAACCUUCCCGUAGGUUCGGAAUAACUCAGAGAAAUUUGCGCUAAUACCGGAUAAUGUCUUCGGACCAAAGAUUUAUCGCCUUUGGAUGGGCCCGCGUUGGAUUAGCUAGUUGGUGGGGUAAAGGCCUACCAAGGCGACGAUCCAUAGCUGGUCUGAGAGGAUGAUCAGCCACACUGGGACUGAGACACGGCCCAGACUCCUACGGAAGGCAGCAGUGGGGAAUAUUGGACGAUGGGCGAGAGCCUGAGCCAGCAAUGCCGCGUGAGUGAUGAAGGCCUUAGGGUUGUAAAGCUCUGUUACACGGGAUGAUAAUGACAGUACCGGGAGAAUAAGCCACGGCUAACUCCGUG